ACGAACGACAGUUAACGUAUCCGAACAAUCAGAUCAUGAAUGAGUUAACCCGAUCAUAAUUUUCGAAUAUGUCUUAAAAUAUAGUGGUUUGUGGUUGAUAACCUCGUGAAGCUUAAAUUGUAAGUAUAAAUUUAUUGGUAGUUUUAGUUGCAAAUAGAUAUUACAAAGAAACCAAUUAAAAUGAAAGUUUAAAAAAAAAGAAAUUAAUAGUUGGGUGUGUAAAUAAAACUCUAGAUUUAUUAUUUAUUUUAAUAAUGAUUGGCACACAUUUUUUACAACAGAAAGUUAUGGCAAUAUUUGUACAAUAAAAUAUUUAUAAAUAAAUAAAUAAAAAACCUCAGAAUGUACAAAAACUAAAUCUUGAACAAAUUUAAGAGAAUAAAAUUACAACAAUGCUAUAAAUGAGUAACGUACACAGAGAAAAAUCAUUUAUAUGAAACCUUGAAUAGAAGUUUGAAUUACAUUAUUGAAAAUCUGUUAAUUAACUAAAUGUGUAAAUAUAGGAGAUUUAUUACAUUGAAAUAGUAUACGAAACGUUUUUCUCUGUGUAAGAUUUAGCAAAAGCCAACAGAUGGUAUAUUUUAGUACAAAUUCUAUGUAUAAGUGUAAGACUACGUGUCUUUUAGAUACACAAACAAGAAAAAUCAUAGUAGGGUAAACUAUCAAUACAUUUACUUUUUAGUAUUAAUUGUUUUCUUGGCUAAAAAUGUCUAUUUAGAUAAAUCAUAGAUUUAAUUUUUUCCACAUUUUUUAAAAUGUCUUCAACAAAUCUUGAAACCACGAAUUUUUAAUUUGAUUAUGACUUUUAUGAAAAUUUGUUUCAACAAAGAAAUGUUUCGCAUAAUCUGUCAGUGGUGUGCCCAAAAUUUUGCUUUGAGAGGGGCAGUACAUAAGUCCACCGAAUCUCAGUGGGUAUGGACUACCCUCCAGUGUAGCAAGGGGUUCCUUUUUUUAUAAGAUACAUUACAGAUUCUAAUUAUAUGUAGCAAUAUAUAAAUUUUUUGAGUUUUUCAUACAACAUUAUUAUAUUUUUUGGUCAAGCACGCCACUAAUAUCUGUAUACUAUCUAAUAAUGGUGGAAGAUUUUCUGUUUGUCACAUUUUUUUGAGAUAUGAAGUCAUCAUGUAAUUAGGGACGACGGUUCUUUCAGAAAAAUAUCGAUUUUUAAAUCGAUUCGCAUCGCAACCUAAUGAAUCGACCAGUAAAAAAUCGAUUUCCAAUCGCCUUUUCUCCAAGUUUGUAUUUAUCAGUAAAAUAUGGGAUUUUAUACUUCAGGGUUAUGCUAAAGUUUUUUUUUAUCUUUCCAGUAAAGUAUAAGAUCAAAAUUUAGGUGCACAUCUGCCUAUUGUGAAUAAUUUUAUGGUUUUAAGGGUGACAUAUCGAUUCAAAAAAUCGAUUUAUUUGGUACAAGGUCGAAAGAACAUAUUUUCAUCUAUACUAGUAGGGAAAAAGUAUUCAGGCAUACUAUUUAGAAUAGGCAUGCUGGACAUAAGGUUGCAAAGUAUAAUCAGGGUGAUCCAAAUUCAACCAAAUCACAAUUUAAACUUUCCUAACUUAAUUAAAAAUUAUUGUAGUGAAUUAAAAUUAUAAAUAUCUAUAGUGACGUCUUAAUUUUCACAAAUUUAUAGGUUAGCUUCUUUAUAUAGGUAUAGUUCUUUCAAUAUCAAUCGCAGAAGACAGUUACCUUAGGAACAAUCAAUGAGAAGAUAAAAAUCAAUUUUUAACCAAGAAACGCCGCAAUACACUCAUCAGAAACUUCAAUUUACUCAUUUUUACCCUACUACCAUGUGUGACAAUAUUUUUUUACGGUAUGUGCUCUAUCUGUAAAUCUUGAAUUAGAUCUUUUUUUUUCAGCUACUUUUUUUCCCUAACAGAUUUACUUUCAGCAAUCGUAUUUAUAUUUACAACAGUGACCUCUUUGGUAAAAAAAAAAUGAUAAAAUUAGGCACUGCUUCAUAAUACAAUAUGAGCAAUAAAUUAACAUUUACUUAUUUAAACAAAGCUACAAAUUAAAAAUAGGAAACUGAGUUAAUUAUUCGUUGUUUAGAUAAUUGCUGGGCCUUAUAUAAUAUAACUCCCAGAAAUAUACUGACCCACGUUUCGAACUCUCUUUCUAUCAUAUAGAUUACAGAUUACAAACUUGCUGGGGCCCAUACCAAAAAGAAAAAACACAUCAUCAACUGAGGGGUAGCUACUCUGAUUCCGAAAAGUUGGAACUUGAUAUUAAAUCUCCGAUUGAGACUAGCUUAUUAACAAGAAACCAGAAAAACAAAUUACUCUCAAAGAUACUUUGAUAAAGAGUAAAUUCCAAACCCCCAGUCUUCCACCGAUUCCUCUCCGGUCUUCGAUCUGUCCCUAAGUAUGCAUUUCCCCCCUUCAUAGAGUUGUCGUUAUUAUUUAUUCCGAUGUAUGGAUUGAAACUAUAGGGAAAUAUGGAGAAUCCGGAGCAAUCCGUCCUCAUUUGUCGACUGGUUCAGUAGUUUUCUUAAGAUCCAGAUCGCUUUCGAUGGACACACCUCAGAAAGGUUUGUGAUGUUAUUUUGAGGGGCUUGAUGAUUCUUAUUAUGGGAAUGUGGAAAUAGGGGCUAAAAAAAAAUUUUUUUUUAAUUUUUGUGUUUUCUUCGUUGGGCCAGGUACUUCUGGAACCUUCUUCGUUGCUAUAAAGUAGUUUACUCAACGAAAUAUUAAAAAAAAGAUCAUUUCUUACUAUUUUUUUGCUUGCACGAAUAAAUGAUUAUGUAUAAUCUGGAUUGAACAAGAUUUAAAUAGUCAUGGAGCUAUAUUAAUAAUGAGGGUCCCGGCAACAAUCUUUAAAAUCUCAAAUGUUAAUUUAAACCUAACCUAACAUUAUAUAUAUUUAUAUUUUGUGCUAAGUCGAUUCAAAGGAAAUUAUCCGCACUAUGUGGAAUUGCCCUAAGAAUAUUAAAUUCCUCCAAAUUGCAAUAUUUUCAGAGAUUCUGAACAGUUGCGUAUACAGGUAAAUUUAUUUUUAACUGUUUUUGAUAAACAGAACUAUUUAGUAUAUUUUCAACUUUCCGGAUACGCCACUGGUUCAAAAUGUUAUAUUUAUAUGGAACUAAGCAUUAAAAAUAAUGUUUCGUAGUCUUAAUUUAACAAUAUCACAAUUAUAAUAUUGCAAUUGAUUCUAAUUAUAACUAGAUAUGCUUCCAUAAACUUUAGAUCCAUACUAUAAAUUUUAGAUUUUUGAAUAAAUUCAUUUUCUUUUCGUUUAUUAACAAGUUUAGAAAAUUUUAGCAGCAUAAUUUCCAUUAUCGGAACCCACUCCACAUAACCGAAAAGUAGAGACGUACCCCGCGCUUUUAGAAAUUAUAAAAAUACCAGCCAGUCUCGUGAUUUUUUUUUUGUAAAUAGAAAAUAAUUGUCUAAAUCUCUUAAACACUCGUUUAAAUAGAUUUUUUAAAUAAAUAUUUGUUUAUAAAAUACGUCUUUACUUUCAAGAACUUUCAAUAAUUAAAUAUCUAUAUAAAUCUAAAAAUUAUAUAUCGCACAUUAAUAUACAGUUUUCAAAAUAUACAGGGUGAUCAAUAAAAGAAAACCUCAUUUAUAUAACUUAUAGGUAAAAUGCUAUAAUUCGAUUAAUGAAUCACCCUGUAGAUUAACCUAACUUUGCUAUAGGGAGUGUUUUUUUUUUAAACAAUGAAAAUAUUUCAAACCGUAGAAUUACAAUUGAUUUAAAUUGAAAGUAAAUAUUUCAUAAUAAAAAAAUGAGCACAGCUAUUUCACAAUACGAUGUCGAACUGUUGUAAAAUUUUCAAAAUGUUGCAAGCAUUGAACUGUUGAAAACUGCCAAUUGUUUGGCAUAUUUUUCAAAUUAGUCACAAAGUCAUGCAGUACGUAUAAAAAAAAUUCAGCUAAUUGUCUAAUCAAAUUACUUAAUUAUAUAUUAUUGUCUAGAAUUAUUACAAUAUCCUUAAAAUUUGAUCAGUUUCUGCCUUAUUUAAUCACAUUAAGGCCAAAAUAAUAAAUUCAACCAAAUUGUAAAAUUGUGUAUAUAUAUUUUAUACCAUAAAAUUUUUAUACAAACUUAAUUUUGAAUAUAUUCGUUUGUCUAUGAAUUCGUCAAUUAAAUUGACAUCUAUUAAAAGAGAAGAUUUUACUGUCAAGGUAUCGGGUAUAAACAGCUAACUUCAUUGUUUUAUUCAUGUUAAUUUAUAAUAAGAAUCAACUUUUCGAUAAAUCUCGUUGGAUUUUUUAUGAAAAAAAUAGCAUUAUGUAAAUCUAGAAGUUGAAUUAAUCUACCUGCACCCCCGUUGGUAAAACUGUAAACAGUAGAAUGAGUAACUUCAUCCCGUACACCCCCAGGAAUACACAAAAGUGUUUCAAAUAUGCUGCAAACAGGUCUUCUGGAGAGUAGAAACCAUUUGGACUCCACUAGAGCUACCCGAUAGAGAGUGAUUACCAAAAGUUAUCCAGUUUUAGUUUCUUUAAUUUCAAAUAACACUAAAUAAACCAACACUAACACGCGUUUCCUUCAGUCUCUGAAGAUGAUAACAAAUUAAUUUUGAAGGAAUUAUGUAUCAGCGCGUUCUGGACACAAUUUAUAAUAAUUAGCCAACCACUGACCGUACUGUUGAAUUUGAUACAUCAAAAUUUGGAAAAUUUUUUGUAACACAACAAAUAUUUCAAAUAAAAAAUUACCGUGGGUCAUAGUUAUAAGGGUUGAACUAUUAAUAGAUGACCUGUCAUGAUUGUUAAUUUAUUUUGACACCCUGUAUAUCUAACCGGUGUUGUUAAUUGUUAGCAAAACUUGGAAAUCGAUUAUGUAGUAUGAACCAUCUUGAAAGAAUGUAGUAGUAUCAAUAACUAAGAAUGAUUUACUUUUAUUACAAUUGGAAAUCGAGGGAUUAAAUUAAUUAGAAAUAUUUAAUUCAAAAUAAUUGACAUCAAUCGUUGAGUUUACAAUAUUUAUUAGCCCGCCGAUAUUGAAAAACUGAAAAGAUAUUAAUUGAAAAAUAAUUGAUAUGUAGGCAAUUUACUUGAAAAUACUUUUAAGAUUUCUGAAAUGAACUCUCUAAUGUACAGGGGCUAAAAAAAAUUGCUUACAUUGAAAUGACAAAAUUCGUUUCUAAUUCGUUAACAUUGACAGACGUUGUAAUUUGAGAUAGGACAUAUAUAACAGCGAUUAUACUCGAUAUAUAAUAAUAUAUUCUAUGAAUUUUUAUUUUUUUCGAAGAUAGAUAACAUCUAUUCAUCAUUGUUUGUAGAAAAUAUUUCGAGUUCUAUAAAAUCUAAUAAGAACUAGAUAUAAAAUUUGAUAUUUUCUCAUCUGUUACAGAUACUUUCCAUUCUACAAAAUUAUGGGGAAUAAAAUUGAUUCGAGUAGGUCCUUCAGCCACCAAAAGAAAAUGAAAUUUAUCACAUUACGAUGUAAAAUCAUCUAACAAAACAGCAUCCUAACCUCAAUUUCAUUACGUGUGAAGUUUUGGAAAACUGGUGAUACAAUGUUUUACCUCAUUACACAUUAUUAUGUAUUCGAUAUACAAAAAGCUACGAGGGAGACAUUAUAGAGAAGAAAGACCAAGAAAUGAGGAACCUGUACAACGAACAAGUAAAAAUCCAAAAGACCGCAACGAAAAUUACUGGCAAGAACAUUGAAAAAUGAGAAGACCUAUAAAGAGAUGGUAUCCUGGUACACAAGAAGAUCUAAUGGUGACAGGAAUUCAAAACUAGAAGGCCACGACAAAAAAUCAAAAAGAACCGUAUAUAUUUGUACUAGAAAACACGAUUGUGCCAAAUUUCUUCGCCAAAAAUGGCAUUUCCACCCCUCUACAUUGACCAACAUUCCGCUAAUACAUUUUUCGAUAAACAUACCCCCACUGCUUUUAGGAUUAACCUUUCGAAUGACUUCCCGUUGUAUUUCUAUGAACCAUCGAAUAGGAACCCCACCAAGAUCACGAAUCGCAUACUAAAUGUCUAUUAGUACCUUUAAAGAUAAUAGAUAUUAGCUGUUUUCUACGUAGAUAUAUUUUAAGCCGUCGAAGCGCAAUUGGAGACACAGCGUCUUCUCUUAAAACCUAGGAAGACACUCGAGUUUAGGCAAGCCAAAUAAUAACGAUACUAUUCCCUUUCCUCGUUCACUACAUCCACCAGUAAUUCCACGUCAGUCAAUAACCGACUUUAUAUACAAGGGGAAUAUUAUUAUUAUUAUUACUAUUAUUUAGUAACAGCUAUUGCACGCAAGUGUCGAGGAAUGUAAGACCGGUUUUUGGGGUUAUGGGGCUUUCAACCCGCGCCUGUCGCCCUUUUUGGACGAUUGUCAGUCUUGCUACUUUUCGUAUCACUGAUAUAUGGUCCAGCACUAUGAGUAGCCAAUUGAAGAUAACUAGAUUGUUUAAUAAUGUCACUGUCACUUGAUGAAUGUACAUUUUGAGCCGCCACCACGCCAUCGAAUCCCACCGCUCGUUGAUAAUCACCGCAAAGGAUAUUAUAAUUGCAGCAUAACGUCCCGUCCUACAAAAAUAUAAUUUCAUAUUAAUAAAAAUGAAAAAUCAUCUUAUAAAUUAAUUUUAAUAAAAUAAAAUCUAUCAGAUCGAUUUUAAUUUCUAUAAAUUAUUUUUUUAUUAUAUAUUUUUCGUGUAUAUAAUAUAUUUAUUUCCCUUCUAAUUGUUCCUGAUUUUAGUUCUGUUCUGAUUUGCAACAUUUAGAAUCAUAAACAUAUUAAAACCGUAAAAGAAA